UACGGAGGGGGCUAGCGUUGUUCGGAAUUACUGGGCGUAAAGCGCGCGUAGGCGGCUUUGCAAGUUAGAGGUGAAAGCCCGAAGCUCAACUUCGGAAUUGCCUUUAAAACUGCGAGGCUAGAAUUGUGGAGAGGUAAGUGGAAUUCCGAGUGUAGAGGUGAAAUUCGUAGAAAUUCGGAAGAACACCAGUGGCGAAGGCGACUUACUGGACACAUAUUGACGCUGAGGUGCGAAAGCGUGGGGAGCAAACAGG
rnacentral:rRNA from 1 species